AUGAUGUUGAAUGACCCAGUUACACUCUGCUCUGGAUCAUGCCAUGGUGGUGUCAUCGAGUUGAGGCGUUAUCAGGAAUCUCAUUCAGGGUCCAUCAUCACGAAGAUGGUUGCUAAACUUGACGGAGAUCAUUUAACCACAGGUGAAGGAUUUUUUAAGAAGAGGUUUGAAAACAGGGAUGGAAAAUUCUCUCUAACCAUCUCCUCAGCUGAGUACAAUGACAUGGGGUUGUAUGAGUGUGUCUGUGGCGAGUACAAACAGGAUGUAAAUCUAGAAGUCUUGGUCCCCACUGAAAAAUCUGCCCAUCUUGGAGGAAAUGUCAAACUUGCCUGCCAUGGCUUAACUAAUAAAAUGACAAAGGACAGUGAGAUAUUUGUCCAGUGGAUUAAAGAUGGACAGAAUGUGUCUACCAUCAGUGCAGGGAAUGUAACCUAUGGCUCUGGGUAUAAGGACAGGGUAUCUGUGUCCAUGGAUGGUUACCGAAAGGGAGACAUUCUCCUCAACCUCACCGAUUUACGCCGUUCUGAUCAGGGGACAUACUGGUGCUUCUUUGGCCCUGACCACCAGAGAGGAGAUCCAGGAGCUGUCAUUCUUACCAUCACACCAAAAGGAAAGCACGACGACAACACAGGAAUGCCAACAUGGGUGAAGGUGGUGGUGGUGGUGGUGGUGGUGUUGGUGGUUGUUUUGGUGAUCAUCCUAGUUGCUAUUUUCUGUUUUCUUGGAGGUAGAUUGAAAGAAACAAUGGCUGCUUGGUUUAAAGGGACUUGUUUGAGAUCUCAAUUCUGUUCCCGUCCAUAAGGGGAACAGGGUGGGGAGCAUCUCGCUGUCACCAUAAGUGAAAGUGAAUCAGAGACAGAAGAAGACAGGACUGGGACAAGUACAUGUUUUGUCCCCUAUGCACCUGGCUGUAUCAUCAGAGCCCUGUCAGGACCUCGCUCUACCACUGGCCUUGUUACCAAGGCUACUGAUGGACCUCCCUCUACCCCAGGCCUUGUUAUCAAGGCUACUGAUGGACCUCCCUCUACCACAGGCCUUGUUAUCAAUGGUACAGAUUGACCUCCCUCUACCCCAGGCCUUGUUACCAAGACUACUGAUGGACCUCCCUCUACCCCAGGCCUUGUUACCAAGACUACUGAUGGACCUCCCUAUAAUAUCUAUUUCAGGAUUGUUUACUGUCUCCAGUUUGUUUAAUAAAAUGUUAAACUUGAACUUUUGGGAGUUGAAUGUAUUUUGUACAUGAUCAAUUCAUUUUACACAUCAUGGAUAUACCUCAAAUGUUAUUCUACAAGAUCCAGACACAAAACAACUGAAUCAAUCGUUAAACUACAUGGUUUACAAUAUGUGAUGAUGGAUACUGUACCUCUGUGUGCUAUGUAGGUCUACUAUGAUGGAUGCUAUGAUUGACAAAGCAAAGAACAUAACAUCAUAUUAGAAAUUGUCUUUGUAGAAU
rnacentral:lncRNA from 13 species